GACAAACGCUGGCGGCGUACUUAAGACAUGCAAGUCGAACGGGUGUCCUGCUUUCGGGUGGGAUGCUAGUGGCGGAUGGGUGAGUAACGCGUAGGAACCUGUCGUUAAGUGGGGGAUACCGCUGGGAAACCGGCGCUAAUACCGCAUGUGGUCGAGCGAUCGAAGAAAGCAGCAAUGCGCUUGAUGAGGGGCCUGCGUCCGAUUAGCUAGUUGGUGGGGUAAAGGCCUACCAAGGCGCGAUCGGUAGCCUGGUCUGAGAGGAUGGUCAGCCACACUGGGACUGAGACACGGCCCAGACUCCUACGGGAGGCAGCAGUUA
rnacentral:rRNA from 1 species